UACGGAGGGGGCUAGCGUUGUUCGGAAUUACUGGGCGUAAAGCGCACGUAGGCGGCUUUCUAAGUCAGGGGUGAAAUCCUGGAGCUCAACUCCAGAACUGCCUUUGAUACUGGAGAGCUUGAGUCCGGGAGAGGUGAGUGGAACUCCGAGUGUAGAGGUGAAAUUCGUAGAUAUUCGGAAGGAACACCAGUGGCGAAGGCGGCGAUCUGGGAAGAUACUGACGCUGAGGUGCGAAAGCGUGGGGAGCAAACAGG
rnacentral:rRNA from 1 species